UACGGAGGAUGCAAGCGUUAUCCGGAAUGAUUGGGCGUAAAGCGUCCGCAGGUGGCAAUGUAAGUCUGCUGUCAAAGCGUCUGGCUCAACCAGAUAAAGGCAGUGGAAACUACAUAGCUAGAGUAAGGUAGGGGUAGAGGGAAUUCCUGGUGUAGCGGUGAAAUGCGUAGAUAUCAAGAGGAACACCUGCGGCGAAGGCGGGUUGCUGGGCCGACACUGACGCUGAUGCGCGAAAGCUAGGGGAGCGAACGGG
rnacentral:rRNA from 1 species